ensembl:snRNA U6 U6 spliceosomal RNA
GCUCACUCCAGGAGCACAUGUGAAAACUACAACAAUACAGAGAUUAGCACAGCCCCUGCGCAAAGAUGACAUGCAAAUUCAUGGAACUGUCCAUGUUUUG